rnacentral:rRNA from 1 species
UACGAAGGGGGCUAGCGUUGCUCGGAAUCACUGGGCGUAAAGCGCACGUAGGCGGCUUUCUAAGUCAGGGGUGAAAUCCUGGAGCUCAACUCCAGAACUGCCUUUGAUACUGGAGGAUCUUGAGUCCGGGAGAGGUGAGUGGAACUCGAGAGUGUAGAGGUGAAAUUCGUAGAUAUUCGCAAGAACACCAGUGGCGAAGGCGGCUCACUGGCCCGGUACUGACGCUGAGGCACGAAAGCGUGGGGAGCAAACAGGG